CUAAUACAUGCAAGUCGAGCGAACUGAUUAGAAGCUUGCUUCUAUGACGUUAGCGGCGGACGGGUGAGUAACACGUGGGCAACCUGCCUGUAAGACUGGGAUAACUUCGGGAAACCGAAGCUAAUACCGGAUAGGAUCUUCUCCUUCAUGGGAGAUGAUUGAAAGAUGGUUUCGGCUAUCACUUACAGAUGGGCCCGCGGUGCAUUAGCUAGUUGGUGAGGUAACGGCUCACCAAGGCAACGAUGCAUAGCCGACCUGAGAGGGUGAUCGGCCACACUGGGACUGAGACACGGCCCAGACUCCUACGGGAGGCAGCAGUAGGGAAUCUUCCGCAAUGGACGAAAGUCUGACGGAGCAACGCCGCGUGAGUGAUGAAGGCUUUCGGGUCGUAAAACUCUGUUGUUAGGGAAGAACAAGUACAAGAGUAACUGCUUGUACCUUGACGGUACCUAACCAGAAAGCCACGGCUAACUACGUGCCAGCAGCCGCGGUAAUACGUAGGUGGCAAGCGUUAUCCGGAAUUAUUGGGCGUAAAGCGCGCGCAGGCGGUUUCUUAAGUCUGAUGUGAAAGCCCACGGCUCAACCGUGGAGGGUCAUUGGAAACUGGGGAACUUGAGUGCAGAAGAGAAAAGCGGAAUUCCACGUGUAGCGGUGAAAUGCGUAGAGAUGUGGAGGAACACCAGUGGCGAAGGCGGCUUUUUGGUCUGUAACUGACGCUGAGGCGCG
rnacentral:rRNA from 2 species